UUUAAUUGAAGAGUUUGAUCAUGGCUCAGAUUGAACGCUGGCGGCAGGCCUAACACAUGCAAGUCGAGCGGAAACAGAAAGUAGCUUGCUACUUUGCUGUCGAGCGGCGGAC
rnacentral:rRNA from 1 species